GUGCCAGCGCUCCUCUCCCAGCGCUCACCGGUCCUUCCAGCAGUCCUCAGGUUGCACGCGACCGGCAGUGAGCUUCCACUGGUACCACAACAGGACUACUUAAUCCUUAGAGGAUGUACAGCCAAACAAGGUGACUAGCCAUCGGCCAGGAGAGCUUAUUAAAAGAUUUCAUUUCUUGGGCAUCCAGGGAGGAGUCAAAAUAAAAACUAAUGUUACUUUGCAAAAGAUGACAAAGCUUUUGAAAGUCAAAAUUCCCAAGCCGGUGACCAUUGGAGAAGCCGGGCCAGCAUUUUGUUGACUAUUAUGCUAUGAGUCUCUAACCUGCUACCCUCUGAACUGAGACCUCAAGUGCCGGCCCUGAAAAGGAAGAAAAAGGAUGACUUGGAAGCAGGGCUGCGGAGAAGCACCUCAGCAGGCAGAGGCCAGGUUUUGAUCGCAUGCUGCUCUGUGUCCUGGGGCCUUUGCAAACCAACCCAGCACUACAGAAAAACAAGUCCAGUAAUGGAAUGCUUUAAAAGCUGGAUACAAUGUCUCAUACCUGCGCUUGGGAAGCUGAAGCAGGAGGACUGCUGAAAGUCUGAGACCAGCCUGGGCUACAAGUGAGACUGUCUCAAAAAACAACCCCCCCCCCCAAAAUGCAAAACCAAAACGAGAAAGAAAAAGAAUAACACGAUGUCCUGGUGUCAGUGGCUCUUGGAUCACUCUAGUUUUCUCUACUCUGACUGUAUCAACAAACUAAUUCCUUAGAAUCACCAUGUGGCGAUGUGACUUGCAGAUGCCCCAGAAAUGGCUACUGUCUGGGAUCCGGGUCGAGGUUUUGCAUGAUUUCUUUCAUGGCUGCACAUGCUUCUCUUCGUAAGGCUUUGGCUUGGCCUACUUACUAGAAGUGCUCAAUAGCACACCGAUGCUUUCUCUGUACUGUCUAUUCUCACUCGGUCUAGUUCCACAUUUGAUGUCGCUAUCUUCUCCAGACACUAAUGCCAGAGUGUUGACAUUAGAGUUCAUCUGUAGAAGAUCCUUUCCCUAGCCCGAGUGUUGCCAAGGCUUUUUUAGGAAAAGCCUUCCAAAUGUUAGAGGCCCAGAGAUUUAGCACGAGAGUCUUGUCAAAUAAUCUCAAUAAAGAGAAUCGUUGUCCCAAGUA
rnacentral:lncRNA from 1 species